rnacentral:rRNA from 1 species
UGGAGGCAGCAGUGAGGAAUAUUGGACAAUGGGCGCAAGCCUGAUCCAGCCAUGCCGCGUGAGUGAUGAAGGCCCUAGGGUUGUAAAGCUCUUUCGCCAGGGACGAUAAUGACGGUACCUGGAGAAGAAGCCCCGGCUAACUUCGUGCCAGCAGCCGCGGUAAUACGAAGGGGGCUAGCGUUGUUCGGGAUCACUGGGCGUAAAGCGCACGUAGGCGGAUCUUUAAGUCAGGGGUGAAAUCCCGAGGCUCAACCUCGGAACUGCCUUUGAUACUGGGGAUCUCGAGUCCGGGAGAGGUGAGUGGAACUGCGAGUGUAGAGGUGAAAUUCGUAGAUAUUCGCAAGAACACCAGUGGCGAAGGCGGCUCACUGGCCCGGAACUGACGCUGAGGUGCGAAAGCGUGGGGAGCAAACAGGAUUAGAUACCCCGGU